UCGAAACAGCGGACUUCGGUCCUUGCUGCACCCUUGUCUUUUGCGCACCGUAUUGUUUCCUCGGCGGGCUUGCCUGCCGGUUGGACAUUAUCAGAACCUUUUUGUAGUUGCAAUCAGCGUCAGAAAAACAAUAAUUAUUA
rnacentral:misc_RNA from 1 species